rnacentral:rRNA from 1 species
UGCCUCAGUAACGGCGAGUGAAGCGGCAACAGCUCAAAUUUGAAAUCUGGCCGCAAGGUCCGAGUUGUAAUUUGCAGAGGAUGCUUUUGGCGAGGUGCCUUCCGAGUUCCCUGGAACGGGACGCCAUAGAGGGUGAGAGCCCCGUACGGUAGGACCACCGAGCCUUUGUAAAGCUCCUUCGACGAGUCGAGUAGUUUGGGAAUGCUGCUCUAAAUGGGAGGUGUACGUCUUCUAAAGCUAAAUACCGGCCAGAGACCGAUAGCGCACAAGUAGAGUGAUCGAAAGAUGAAAAGCACUUUGAAAAGAGGGUUAAAAAGUACGUGAAAUUGUUGAAAGGGAAGCAUUCAUGACCAGACUUGGGCUUGGUUGAACAUCCGGCGUUCUCGCCGGUGCACUCUGCCAGUCCAGGCCAGCAUCAGUUUGCCCCGGGGGACAAAGGCGGUGGGAAUGUGGCUCUCUCCGGGGAGUGUUAUAGCCCGCCGUGUAAUGCCCUGGGGCGGACUGAGGAACGCGCUUCGGCUCGGAUGCUGGCGUAAUGGUCAUCAAUGACCCGUCUUGAAACACGGACCAAGGAGUCGUCUUCGUAUGCGAGUGUUCGGGUGUCAAACCCCUACGCGAAAUGAAAGUGAACGUAGGUGAGAGCUUCGGCGCAUCACCGACCGAUCCUGAUGUUCUCGGACGGAUUUGAGUAA